rnacentral:rRNA from 1 species
UGGCCUUCUCUUCUGCAGGCUGUGCACGCCUCUCUGGCACUCUCGCUCACAUCCACAUCACCCUUUGUGCAUCACCGCGUGGGCUUUCCCUUUUUAAAAGGGGGGGCUUGCGUUCUCACACAUACACCCUUUAUGAAUGCAACAGUGUAGAAUGUGACUUAAUAAAGUUAAUACAACUUUCAACAACGGAUCUCUUGGCUCUCGCAUCGAUGAAGAACGCAGCGAAAUGCGAUACGUAAUGUGAAUUGCAGAAUUCAGUGAAUCAUCGAAUCUUUGAACGCACCUUGCGCCCCUUGGCAUUCCGAGGGGCACACCCGUUUGAGUGUCGUGAAAUUCUCAACCUUUUUCGAUUCUUCUUGAUCGGAGAAGGCUUGGACUUUGGAGGCUUCUGCUGGCUUCUCUUGAAGCCAGCUCCUCUUAAAUGCAUUAGCGGGGGUUCCCUUUUGCCGGUCCUCGACGUGAUAAGGCUUCUUUCUACGUCUGGGGCCUUGGCUUGAGACCCGCUUCUAAUGGUCUCGUUGAGACGCUGUGAACCCUUUGACCUCAAAUCGGGUGAGACUACCCGCUGAACUUAAGCAUA